AGUGAACGCUGGCGGUAGGCCUAACACAUGCAAGUCGAACGGCAGCACAGUAAGAGCUUGCUCUUACGGGUGGCGAGUGGCGGACGGGUGAGGAAUACAUCGGAAUCUACUUUUUCGUGGGGGAUAACGUAGGGAAACUUACGCUAAUACCGCAUACGACCUACGGGUGAAAGCAGGGGAUCUUCGGACCUUGCGCGAUUGAAUGAGCCUAUGUCGGAUUAGCUAGUUGGCGGGGUAAAGGCCCACCAAGGCGACGAUCCGUAGCUGGUCUGAGAGGAUGAUCAGCCACACUGGAACUGAGACACGGUCCAGACUCCUACGGGAGGCAGCAGUGGGGAAUAUUGGACAAUGGGCGCAAGCCUGAUCCAGCCAUACCGCGGGGGUGAAGAAGGCCUUCGGGUUGUAAAGCCCUUUUGUUGGGAAAGAAAAGCAGCAGGUUAAUACCCCGCUGUUCUGACGGUACCCAAAGAAUAAGCACCGGCUAACUUCGUG
rnacentral:rRNA from 1 species